GACGAACGCUGGCGGCGUGCUUAAUACAUGCAAGUCAACUGAACUUAAGGUAGCAAUAUUUUAAGGGAGGUGGCGCACGGGUGAGUAACACGUAGGUAAUCUGCCUUUAGGUCUGACAUAACCUACCGAAAGGUAGGCUAAAAUCAGAUGAUGCAGCGGCUCGACAUCGAGACAGUUGUUAAAUCUUCGGAGCCUAAAGAUGAGCCUGCGUCUGAUUAGGUAGUUGGCGGUGUAAUGGACCACCAAGCCUGCGAUCAGUAGCUGGUCUGAGAGGAUGAUCAGCCACACUGGAACUGAGACACGGUCCAGACUCCUACGGGAGGCAGCAGUAAGGAAUAUUGCUCAACGGCCGAAAGGACUGAAGCAGCAACGCCGCGUGGAGGAUGAAAUACUUUGUAUGUAAACUCCUGUAAGAAGGGAAAAAUAGUUCCGAUUCAUCGGAAUUGAUUGUACCUUCAGAGUAAGCCCGGCUAACUACGUGCCAGCAGCCGCGG
rnacentral:rRNA from 1 species